rnacentral:rRNA from 1 species
CUUUUCUUCGGAACAUUGGAGACAGGUGGUGCAUGGUUGUCGUCAGCUCGUGUCGUGAGAUGUUGGGUUAAGUCCCGCAACGAGCGCAACCCUUAUCUUCAGUAGCCAGCAAUUCGGUUGGGCACUCUGGAGAGACUGCCAGGGAGAACCUGGAGGAAGGUGGGGAUGACGUCAAAUCAUCAUGCCCCUUAUGGCCAGGGCUACACACGUGCUACAAUGGCGUAAACAAAGGGAAGCGAGCAUGUGAGUGUGAGCAAAUCUCAAAAAUAACGUCUCAGUUCGGAUUGUAGUCUGCAACUCGACUACAUGAAGCUGGAAUCGCUAGUAAUCGCGGAUCAGCAUGCCGCGGUGAAUACGUUCCCGGGUCUUGUACACACCGCCCGUCACACCAUGGGAGUCAGUAACGCCCGAAGCCAGUGACCCAACCUUUAGGAGGGAGCUGUCGAAGGCGGGACGGAUAACUGGGGUGAAGUCGUAACAAGGUAGCCGUAUCGGAAGGUGCGGCUGGAUCACCUCCUUUCUAAGG